GACGAACGCUGGCGGCGUGCCUAAUACAUGCAAGUCGUGCGGACCUUUUAAAAGCUUGCUUUUAAAAGGUUAGCGGCGGACGGGUGAGUAACACGUGGGCAACCUGCCUGUAAGACUGGGAUAACGCCGGGAAACCGGGGCUAAUACCGGAUCGUCUUUCCCCCGCUUGGGGGGAAAGGAAAGUCUGGUUCGGUGGGCACGUACUCGCGGGGCCUCGGCGCCUUAGCUGGGUGGCGGGGUAGCGGGCCAUCAAGGCAAGGAUGCGUCGCCGACCUGAGAGGGUGAGUGGCCACAUUGGGACGGAGACACGGCCCAAACUGCUACGGGAGGCAGCAGGAGGGAAACGGGCGCAAUGGGCGAAAGUCUGAGGGAGAAACGCCGCGUGAGGGAAGAAGGCCGUCGGGUCGUAAAACUCGGUUGCCGGGGAAGAACAAGUGCCGGUCGAACAGGGCGGCGCCUUGACGGUACCCGGUCAGAAAGCCACGGCUAACUACGUG
rnacentral:rRNA from 1 species